rnacentral:rRNA from 1 species
CCCUUAGAUGUUCUGGGCCGCACGCGUGCUACACUGAGUGGAUCAGCGGGUCAGGUUGCGCGAAAGCGUUUCCUAAUCUUGAAAUCCGCUCGUGAUGGGGAUUGACGGUUGCAAUUUUCCGUCAUGAACGAGGAAUACCUUGUAAGCGCGGGUCAUCAUCCCGCGCUGAAUACGUCCCUGCCCUUUGUACACACCGCCCGUCGCUCCUACCGAUUGAGUGGUCCGGUGAGGCUUUGGGAUCUGAGCGGAAAGAGCGUUUCGCUGUUUCUGCUCGGAAAACUCAGUCGAACCUCAUCAUUUAGAGGAAGGAGAAGUCGUAACA